UUCCUUUGUUCUAAGUCAAAGUUUUAGAAUUUUGACCAACUAUAUAGAAUAAAGUAGUAACAUAUAUGACAUCAACUUGAUAUAUUAUAAAAGUACAUUCCAAUACGGAUCUAAUGAUACUAAUUUAUUGCCAUAAAUGCUGCUGCUUUUUUCUAUAAAAUUGGUCAAAGUUUUAAAACUUUGACUUAGGACAAAAUUUA
rfam:Triticum urartu cultivar G1812 contig1210129, whole genome shotgun sequence.